rnacentral:rRNA from 1 species
UUAUUUUUAUAAUACUAUGAUGGUGGCACAAAAUCGGAGGCCCCGACUGUUUACUAAAAACACAAUUCAGAGCAAUGAUGUAAAUCAUAGUAUUCUGGAUGAAAUUUGCCCAAUGCCAUUAACAUAAAAGAGGUAAUAGGAAACUGUUACUAAUUGAAAGUCUGGUUAAUAGCGGUCUUAACUAUGAGGAUCCUAAGGUAGCAAAAUCAGUUGGCCAUUAAAUGUGGUCUGGUAUCAAUAGUGUAACGAUGGUCUCACUGUCUCUACAACUUGCUCAGUGAAAUUGAAUUACCCGUGCAGAUGCGGGUUGCCCCCAGGUGGNCGGGAAGACCCUAUG